GAACAGGUAUCUCUCUGGGAUGACUAAUUAAAACUCUCUCUCUCUCUCUAUGUCUCUCUCUCUCUCUCUCUCUCUCUCUCUCUCUGUCUCUCUAACUCUCUAUGUCUCUCUCUUUCUGUCUGUCUCUCUCUCAUUCUCUCUCUCUCUCUCUCAUUCUCUUUCUGUCUAUCUCUCUCUCUCUCUCUAUGUCUCUCUCUCUCUCUCUCUCUGUGUCUCCAGCGGUGGGCAGUGAUAGUGACAGUCAGGCUAGCAGGAGGAGGAAGAGCAGCACAGGCGGCAGUGACCAGAGUCAGGGGGUCAAUGGAAGAAGGUCCGGUCGCCGGCCCCCUCUACAGCCCAAACCACAAGUGCCUCCUAAGCCUGUUCAUCUGCAGAGUCCGGUGACGGCUCUCCCACACCCCCUGAGCCGGACCCCACAGAGGAGAUCUGAGAUGGAGGACCGAGGAGGAGGAGGUGGAGGAGUAGGAGGAGGAGGAGGAGUGGCAGGGAGAGGGCGAGCAGCAGGAAAUGGGACAGGAGUUGGAACAGGAGGUGCAGCUGGGAAGGGCAGAGUUCUGAACCUCAUUAGCCGCUUUGAGGAGGGCAGCACAGACAGCACUAAGGUGAGCCCCAGCGGCUCCCCUCUGAAGCAGAUCAGCCGAUCGGCCAACUGCAGCCCGGCCCACAAGGGCACAGGACGACCCCCUCAGCCCAAGGAGGGGAGUUCCGUGCCGGUCACGCCGCUCCGCCAUGCCCCUAAGCCCCCCACAACCCCCCCAGCCAACGGUCUGCCAGAGCACAUGGACGACAGCACACACACCGUCAUGGUGAACAUGGUGAACGGAGACACGGGGGAUGACAACCAGGAGACGGACGAGAGCGACUCGCACACGCUCGCGCACACCCCGCACAAGACAGAGGAUCAGAGAGGAGAGAGGGAGGAAGAGAAGGAGGAGGAGGAGGACGACGAGGAGGGAGCGAGGGAACAAAGCGACGAAGGAGAGCAGCAACAUGAGACAAGCAGAGACGACACUGCAACCAUGGAUAGAAAGGUAGGAGUGUGUUUGUGUGUGUGUGUGUGUGUGUGUGUGUAUGUGUGUGUGUGGGUGUGUGUGUUAAAAUCUUUAGAGAUUGUACCCCUGAGUCAGAGGUUUAUUUUUAUCUGGAAUACCCCACAGAUAUAUUUAAACUGGUUGUCGGUCUCUCUCUCUCUGUCUCUCUCUCUCUCUCUCUCUGUCUGUGUCAGUCUACCUAGAGAGUGACAAGCCAUAGAUGUCUACUGAAACUUUAUCACUGCUGUUCCAUGUUUGCUUAUACCAGAUACCUUAUAUAUUUCUGACUGUGUCUCGAAAUAUCUGAGUGUGUGUGUGUGUGUGUGUGUGUGUGUGCGUGUGUGUGUGUGUAAGAGAGAGACAGAGAGCGAGAGAGAGGGACAGGGAGAAAUAGAGAGAUAAAUAAAGGUUGGUAUUUGACACCUCUUCCUUGUGGA
rnacentral:lncRNA from 1 species